GGAUGCGAUCAUACCAGCACUAAAGCACCGGAUCCCAUCAGAACUCCGAAGUUAAGCGUGCCUCAUGACAAACAUAUCACAUGUG
rnacentral:rRNA from 1 species